GAAAACUUUUGGUUUCAGAAUGUCCCCGCGCCAAGUUUACACAUAGUAAAAAUUCUAACAAGGAAUAUUUCAAAUGGGAGAUUUCGGGAUGAAUGAAAAAAAUCAUCAUUUGCCUUCAUGAUGUAUUCUCACUGUUUUGCUGCCAAGUUUCGGCAUCUUCAGUUUUGUGGUUUGAUGUAGCAUUACUGCAAGCCAGAGAAUGAUAUUUCAAAUGGGAGAUUUCGGGAUGAAUGAAAAAAAUCAUCAUCUGCCUUCCUGAUGUAUUCUCACUGUUUUGCUGCCAAGUUUCGGCAUCUUCAGUUUUGUGGUUUGA